rnacentral:ncRNA from 1 species
CGAAAAGCUAUGAACGGACGAAGUAGUCGCUUAUCCCUGUAUCAAGAGAGCUGGUGGGAGCUGAGAACCAGUACAAAUAAGUGAGACGAAUUACAUCCCGGAGCAUAUUUGCAUUUGCAAACGGUAGUAUUUGCCGUUAUCUUAAUGAAGCGAGGAAGAUUUUUUUCCUAAGUUGGGUGGUACCACGUAUAUUUUGCGUCCCUUCG